UGGAGGAUCUGAGCCCGGAAGAGAGGGACCAAGGUGUAGAAACCAAGAAAAACAGCAUCACAGAGGAGAGCAGAGCCAAGAGCUGGAGAGAAAUGGCACCUGACAGUAUCUGUUGCUGUUUCUUGAUUUUCCUCUUCUUAUAUGGAAACAGGGAAGAUGCUCAGAGCAAGGAAAAAAUAAUAAAUCUUUCCAGACAGAAGGAGGAAAUGAAGAAAGGAAGCAAGGAAGAAAAAAAAGAAGGAAACUACUUGAAUACGGGGACUGGCUAAUCCAUCUUUUAAGUUUAAUUUUUAUUAUUAGAUAAUUAUAAGUUGCAAACAUUGUACUGAGUGGUCCUGUGUGCCCAUCACCCAGCUUCCCCUAUGAUGACAUCUUCCAUAACUAUAGGCCAGUCCUUUUUUAUUAUAUAUUCUAGUGGCCCACAGUAACUGUUCAAUAAAGUUCAU